GUCCGGCUGCGGCUGGGGAGCCGGGUCGGGCUGAGGCUCGGGCUGGGGUGCGGGGUCGGGCUGCGGCUCGGGCUCGGGUGCCGGGUCGGGCUCC
rnacentral:tRNA from 1 species